rnacentral:tRNA from 1 species
GCAGGUGUCGUGCCGGGAAGCUCAGCGGUCUUGAAAACUGUCGUGGCGGCAACGUCACCGUGGGUUCAAAUCCCACAGCCUCCG